ACCUGGCUGGCUCAGUUGGUAGAGCAUGUGACUUUUAAUCUUGGGGUUGUAAGUUCGAGCCCUAUGUUGGGUG
rnacentral:tRNA from 1 species